GCUCAAAGCCUGGCCUUUUCGAACUGUCAUCUCCCGAUUUCCAACCUCCUCCUAUGAAAGAUGGAGAUGAAGCUGUCUUAUGGUGCACCUCUCCCCUACACACUCCCACACCCACACCCACGUCAGAGCUGCCCCAGGAUGCAGUGCUGCAGACGCUGGGGAAAGGGAGGCUUUCACACAGGAAGAGGCCCCAAACGUCAAGUGGCAGUAGGAGGCCGAGAAUGAUGAGGACUGAUAGAGCCCACUGGAUAGAGCAACCGGAAGUUGCUUUUGUGAAACAUGAUACACAAAAAAGGCAUAAGGAAUAAUCCUGCGAAUGGACAGCCCACAGGACAGUGACCAAGUGAGGGGGCCUGGACCAGGACUAACCCCUCACAGCUACUCCUGGCCAACGUUUCACCACUAUCCAGGUGAGGAGGGGUUACCAUUUUAUACCAGAGUAAAGUCUUUGCGGUACAGUGCAUCGUUUUUAGAGAUGGUAUAGUACAUUCUAGCUGGUAAAUUGCACUGAGUCCAUCCUGUGGCGAGGGCUUAGUUUUUGCUAACAAGUCAGUGCUCAGAGAGGUGUACCCGCAGGCUUCCAUUCGGAUCAGGAACAUAAAAUGAAAUCCCUGUUAGAUUGUUGGGAUGUCUUGGAGCACUUCCUAAGGGACAGAUGAGUGAGAGGCUGUUGGUUGACAUUUAACUAUGGUUCCAAAUUUAUCGAACAUCUCCUUGCAAUAAUGUCCAAGGCAGCCUGGAAGUAGACUGGACUUCGCGGCCGGAGGGGC